AGCAUCCCCCUCUCCCCUCCCCCCCCAUUUGUGUGUGAGCAUGCGGGCAGGCGAUACUCUUUUGUUUCAACCUGACCUCUACCUCAUGGUGACCCUCUCUGGGUGGGGGGGGAGGACGGGGUAGGGGGGAGAAGGAGGAGAGGGUGAGGGGAGACUUCUGCAGGCACAGCCCUUAUACAUCAAGAGGUUGCCUAUAGGAGGAAGCCGAUGGCUGCAGCAUCCAACGCGUUAUUACCUUGCGAUGCCAUGACCCUCCUCCAUGCAUCCCUAACUCUUUAAAGCUGAUUCAGCUAGCGCUCUGGAGGCUCCCCUGCUGCAACAGAAUCUCCUCACUGCUCACAUAUCCAGGUUUCCAGUUGUCCCUAUGAACCUUCGAUUUGACAAUGUGUCAGGUAAACCACAACCUCAGCUGCUACAGAGUUCGUUCAACUGGAUGGCUUUUUCCUAACACUGAAAGAAAGAAAGUCAAGACAUUCUCUUUCUGGGGCUCUUCUCUUUGGGAGGCAGAGGAAAUCCUGGACU